rnacentral:rRNA from 1 species
UACGAAGGGGGCUAGCGUUGCUCGGAAUCACUGGGCGUAAAGGGUGCGUAGGCGGGUUUUUAAGGCAGAGGGGAAAUCCUGGAGCUCAACUCCAGAACUGCCUUUGAUACUGAGAAUCUUGAGUACGGGAGAGGUGAGUGGAACUGCGAGUGUAGAGGUGAAAUUCGUAGAUAUUCGCAAGAACACCAGUGGCGAAGGCGGCUCACUGGCCCGUAACUGACGCUGAGGCACGAAAGCGUGGGGAGCAAACAGG